ensembl:snoRNA Snora64 small nucleolar RNA, H/ACA box 64
ACUCUCCCACUCUGCAUGGUUACACAAGGCUUAACCCGUGUGACUUUCGUACCAGGAGAGAGAGGAAAGAGCUCCUCGGGAGUUGAGUGGCCUCGCGGUGGCCUCUCUAGCCUAGAGGAGCACAACAGGC